UACGUAGGGCGCAAGCGUUAUCCGGAAUUAUUGGGCGUAAAGAGCUCGUAGGCGGUUUGUCGCGUCUGCCGUGAAAGUCCGGGGCUCAACCUCGAGAUGUCGGCGGAAACCGUCUGGCUAGAGUCCGGAAGAGGAGAGUGGAAUUCCUGGUGUAGCGGUGAAAUGCGCAGAUAUCAGGAAGAACACCUAUGGCGAAGGCAGCCCCCCUGGGCUGACACUGACGCUCAGGCACGAAAGCGUGGGGAGCAAACAGG
rnacentral:rRNA from 1 species